rnacentral:rRNA from 1 species
AACGAACGCUGGCGGCAGGCUUAACACAUGCAAGUCGAACGAGAUCCUCGGAUCUAGUGGCAGACAGGUGAGUAACGCGUGGGUAACCUGCCCUGUACACACGGAUAACAUACCGAAAGGUAUGCUAAUACGAGAUAAUAUACUUUUAUCGCAUGGUAGAAGUAUCAAAGCUCCGGCGGUACAGGAUGGACCCGCGUCUGAUUAGCUAGUUGGUAAGGUAACGGCUUACCAAGGCGACGAUCAGUAGCCGACCUGAGAGGGUGAUCGGCCACAUUGGAACUGAGACACGGUCCAAACUCCUACGGGAGGCAGCAGUGGGGAAUAUUGCACAAUGGGCGAAAGCCUGAUGCAGCAACGCCGCGCGAGCGAUGAAGGCCUUCGGGUCGUAAAGCUCUGUCCUCAAGGAAGAUAAUGACGGUACUUGAGGAGGAAGCCCCGGCUAACUACGUGCCAGCCGCCGCAGUAA